CGUGGGUCGCGUGCAGGCGCAUGUGAAUAAUCCAUGAAUGCAGGAGACCUCGCCCUCCUUCUGUCUUCCUAGCAUAGGUUCCUUGAGAGUGCAGUGAGUGGCUCGAGACCUUGGCUUCCAGUCCUCUCGGGAGUUCUGAGCGUACAGUGACAGGGACCAGCUUGUGUCUGAAUGACGGUCACAAAGAUUUCUCCCGUUUAUUGUGCAGUUUCUACGGCCUUUGGGUUGGAUGCAACAGAAGUCUCAAGACGGAAGAAAAAGCUGGGAGAAGAUGCAGCACUGCGGGACUGAAGGGGCCCUUGGAGAUCAUUCUGCCUGUAUCCAUGAGGAGACCAGAGUUUUGAGCCGUGACCUCUUAACUGACUGUGGAGAAGAGCUUCAGUUCUGGACAACAACUACUGUGAAUUUGCAGGUGUCCAGUUCAUUGUAUUGGCUGUAUUUUGGAGCCUUGAAAAACACUGAAAGCUGCUGCUUCAAAAUGUCCAUACCUGCAGUUUUUCCAUGGGCCCUGAUUAGGCCCAGAGCAUAUCAACAAUGA
rnacentral:lncRNA from 1 species